rnacentral:rRNA from 1 species
GAUUAACGCUUUGCGGCGUGCCUAACACAUGCAAGUCGAGCGGCAGCGAGUUUUACACUGAAUUCUGGAAGCUUCUGGUUUAAAGAGAAGAUUUAUUCAAGAAUUUUGUGUAAAAUGUCGGCGAGCGGCGGACGGCUGAGUAACGCGUGGGAACGUACCCCAAAGUGAGGGAUAACGCAUCGAAAGGUGUGCUAAUACCGCAUAUGGUCUUCGGAUUAAAGCCUUCGGGCGCUUUGGGAACGGCCUGCGUAAGAUUAGAUAGUUGGUGGGGUAAUGGCCUACCAAGUCGACGAUCUUUAACUGGUUUGAGAGGAUGAUCAGUCAGACUGGAACUGAGACACGGUCCAGACUCCUACGGGAGGCAGCAGUGAGGAAUCUUCCACAAUGGGCGAAAGCCUGAUGGAGCAACGCCGCGUGCAGGAUGAAGGCCUUCGGGUUGUAAACUGCUUUUAUAAGUGAGGAUUAUGACAGUAACUUAUGAAUAAGGAUCGGCUAACUACGUGCCAGCAGCCGCGGUCAUACGUAGGAUCCGAGCGUUAUCCGGAGUGACUGGGCGUAAAGAGUUGCGUACGUGGUUCGACAAGCGAAUAGUGAAAUCUGGUGGCUCAACCAUUCAGACUAUUAUUCGAACUGUUGAACUCGAGAGCAGAAGAGGUAGCUGGAAUUUCUAGUGUAGGAGUGAAAUCCGUAGAUAUUAGAAGGAACACCGAUGGCGUAGGCAGGCCACUGGGCUGUUUCUGACACUGAGGCACGAAAGCGUGGGGAGCGAACCGGAUUAGAUACCCGGGUAGUCCACGCCGUAAACGAUGGAUACUAGCUGUUUGGGGUAUCGACCCCCUGAGUAGCGAAGCUAACGCGUUAAGUAUCCCGCCUGUGGAGUACGAUCGCAAGAUUAAAACAUAAAGGAAUUGACGGGGACCCGCACAGGCGGUGGAUCAUGUUCUUUAAUUCGAUGAUAACCGAUAAACCUUACCAGGUCUUGACAUCCUUGGAAUCUUUCAGAAAUGAGAGAGUGCUUUUUAAGAGCCAAGUGACAGGUGAUGCAUGGCCGUCGUCAGCUCGUGUCGUGAGAUGUUGGUUAAGUCCAUCAACGAGCGCAACCCUUGUCAGUAGUUGUAUUUUUCUACUGAGACUGCCCCGGCAACGGGGAGGAAGGAGGGGAUGACGUCAGGUCAGUAUUUCCCUUACGUCCUGGGCUAGAAACGUGAUACAAUGGCUAGUACAAUGCGCAGUGAAGCCGCGAGGUGAAGCAAAUCGCAUCAAAGCUAGUCCCAGUUCGGAUUGUAGGCUGAAACUCGCCUGCAUGAAGUCGGAAUCGCUAGUAAUCGCAGAUCAGCAUGCUGCGGUGAAUACGUUCCCGGGUCU